CGUUGGCAAACCAAGAUCGCUCUUCACUGACAAAAUGCAAAUUAUUAAACGUUUCUCUGUUAUUAAGCUUGUUGUGGGAAACGGUAUGUAGUGGAGACUGUCUGCGUUAUACUAGUAACGUAGGCCUACCUGAGCAACCCCAGACAGGAUGGAAAGAGCGGUUGUAGGCAAUAAAGGUCAAAAUGGACCGAAUGAAUGCAUAGACAACAAUGCACAAGCCCUUUCUCGUGGAAAACCAGUCUGGUGAGAGAGAGCUAGAUUUUACAUGCAGUUUUUAUGAGAUCUGCACAAAGAAGACGACAAUAAUAACAACAGAUGCGCGGUAAACAGUUGGCAGUAUCUCUGCUGAGAAAAAUGGGAGACUGUGAGUGAGAAAGAGAGAGACGGAGGGAGAAAAAUUGAGCUGCUGCAGUAUCCCUACACUG
rnacentral:lncRNA from 1 species